rnacentral:rRNA from 1 species
GACGAACGCUGGCGGCGUGCUUAACACAUGCAAGUCGAACGAAGUGGCGAACGGGUGAGUAACGCGUAAACAACCUGCUCUUCCGAGGGGGACAACAGUUGGAAACGACUGCUAAUACCGAAUAUGGAAGGAGGGGAUGGCGUUUGAUUAGCUAGUUGGAGGGGAAACGGCCAACCAAGGCGAUGAUCAGUAGCCGGGUUGAGAGGAUGAACGGCCACCUUGGGACUGAGACACGGCCCAGACUCCUACGGGAGGCAGCAGUGGGGAAUCGUCCGCAAUGGACGAAAGUCUGACGGAGCAACGCCGCGUGAGUGAUGACGGCCUUCGGGUUGUAAAGCUCUGUUAAUCGGGACGCGGUACCGGAAUAGAAAGCCACGGCUAACUACGUGCCAGCAGCCGCGGUAAUUC